UCCUGUCUGGCUCAAUUGGUAGAGCAUGGUGUUUGCAGUGCCAGGGUUGUGGGUUCGAUUCCCAUGGUGGGCC
rnacentral:tRNA from 1 species